CUACGGGUCGCUCCAGUGGGGAAUAUUGCACAAUGGGGGAAACUCUGAUGCAGCAACGCCGCGUGGAGGAUGACACAUUUCGGUGCGUAAACUCCUUUUAUAGGUCAAGAUAAUGACGGUAGCCUAUGAAUAAGCGCCGGCUAACUCCGUGCCAGCAGCCGCGGUAAUACGGAGGGUGCAAGCGUUACUCGGAAUCACUGGGCGUAAAGAGCAUGUAGGCGGGUUAGUAAGUCAGAAGUGAAAUCCAAUAGCUCAACUAUUGAACUGCUUUUGAAACUGUUAACCUAGAGUGUGGGAGAGGUAGAUGGAAUUUCUGGUGUAGGGGUAAAAUCCGUAGAGAUCAGAAGGAAUACCGAUUGCGAAGGCGAUCUACUGGAACAUUACUGACGCUGAGAUGCGAAAGCGUGGGGAGCAAACAGGAUUAGAUACCCUUGUAGUC
rnacentral:rRNA from 1 species